GGGGAACAUGAGGAGAAAGUACAAGGUUGAACUCUGUUGACGUCAAGUACCAGAUCUGGAAGCUGGGGGUUGUGUUCACAGACAAUGGUUAAUCAUUGAUGCCUUUGGAGAUCUGAGGGAUCAGCAGGAACAAGUGAAAGAAGACAUGGAGACCAAAUGUUUUAUCUGUGGAAUAGGUAAUGACUACUUUGACACCGUGCCACACGGCUUUGAAACGCACACUCUACAGGAGCACAACUUAGCCAACUACCUAUUCUUUCUGAUGUAUCUCAUCAACAAAGAUGAAACAGAGCACACAGGCCAGGAGUCUUACGUAUGGAAAAUGUACCAGGAACGUUGUUGGGAGUUUUUCCCCGCUGGUGACUGUUUCCGGAAACAGUAUGAGGAUCAGCUCAACUGAGUCAACCUUGGAGUGACAGACUCUUAACUCUGAAAGGCCGACUGCAGCCAUCUGGCCUCUGCUUGUCCCUCAAACGUUUAUUACUUUUCUGAGGAGGCUGUACCAAAUGAUGGGUUCCUCUCUAUGCGUCAUCUCUCCUCAAGUGGCCAGGCUCUUCAACGGGAUGCACCCUGCCAUUGUCAUCCAGACAGUCAGCUCCACCCCCGACCUUUAGCACACUCUGCUUUUGAGACCUUGUACAUAGAAAACUUCAGAAAAUAUGAUGUACAAUACAUGACAGGUAGCAGGUCUAGAAUUUUUUCACUCUGAUGACUUCCUUGCUUCCUCUUAUUCUAUAUUCAAAGUAACUUGCAAAAAUACAAAGGAUUAAUGGAUUGAGGGUAAAAGAAGAAACCUAAAGAAUGUUUUACUUUUAAUAUGACCAUGUCUACGCCCUUUCAUGUUUAUAAUGCACGAUUCAUAUAGGUACAGGUGGUGGAUACAAUAAUCAAACAAGUUGACGACUUAUUCUGGCAAGAAGAACUCUGCAGCAAAUCUACACUUCAAUAAGCUUAAAGACGUGCUGACCUGAAUACGAUGGACAACGAAAUCGAACACAGCACCAAAGUGGAGACUUCAGAACAAUCAGAAAGCUGAAUGAAGCCCCUGUGCAAAGAGGAACAUUUUCACAAACAGAGCUGCUGUGUUGAGUUGAAUUACAGUUUGGUCCAAGAGUUUGAACAAUGACACAUGUUCUUCUCACUUUACUUACUUAUACCACCAUCACAGUGGAUCUCAAGUCAAACAAUGUAGAUCACUAAAUACUUGAUUUGCCUUCAGCUACUGCUUGUUUGUGUUCUUCAGCCUUCACUUUUUUGUUCGGUAAAUGAAAAUGCUCCUUCGGGUUGAGAUCAAGUGAGAGACUUGGUCAUUGAAGAAUAUCACAUUUCUUUGGCUUUAGAAAACCUUGAGGAUAAACAUAUUUUCAAAAGCUAGCCACGUAGUAAACACCCUUUAUCAUUGUCAAUUUAUCAUUGUCAGUAAAAUCAAAUAAAGUGCACACCACUGGUUACACUCAAGAAGAGGAAGGCAAGAAUACAUUUUGACAGAAAACAUCGUCCAUCCCGGUUCUGUAUUAAGUUCUUUAAACAGAUGAAACCUAGGCUGACUUGUACCAGAAUGAUGGGAAGAGAAAAGUAUGGAGAACAAAAGGAACGGCUCAUGAUCCAAAACACACCAUCCAUCAAAUGUGAUACAGUGCACUGGCAUGUGGGGCUGCCAGUGGAACUGGGUAGAACAGCAGAAUUAAUUGUGAAGUGUACAGGGCUGUACUCUGCUCAAAUUCAGCCAAAUACUGCAAAACUGGUUGGAAAGCAUUUGUCAGAGCAAAUUGAUAAUGACCUCACCACAAAAGAAACUGUCACGGGGUGCCGAGGCAGGCCGUGUGUAAAUAUAAAUGGACCCAAGAUGCAGACUGCUUAAGUGGUGAGCGAGCUUUAUUAACCAAAGAGUGACACAAACGGAGAUAAGGUGGACAAAAAACCAAACCUAAGAGUAAACUAAACUGGGAAAAGCUAAGCAAAAACAAACCUGAAACAUGAAACGGAGAUGCAGGGAGAACACAGGAGAACAUGGAGGGUAACAACAC